rnacentral:lncRNA from 1 species
AGGGAUUUCCAAUGCACAUGACAUGUUAAAAAUCAUCAUUCCCACAGAUUUUAGCCAUCUUUACACUUAAGCACAUACUUAAUCAUAGUCACUACUUACUAGUUCACAUUUAACCAAUUAAAACAAUGUUUUGAAUGUAGUAACAUGCCUUAGAGAAUUCCCUCAAUUCCUUACAAGAUAUGCACUCUAUUUUCACUCAGAUUUUCUGAACUACACACCCUACACUAGUUAUAUGUGAGAAGAUUGAUGUAAAUAUGAAAACGAAUGCUCACAUAUAUGUAUAACAAAGAAAGCAAUUUUUUCCGGAGUUAAUAAUAAGCAUGUUUAUAAAUAUGAUCUCAUGAAUGGAAUGCUACUACUUAGAUGCGAGAACCAGUGACACCAUAUGCUCAUACCAAUUUCAAACUCCACAAAUUGAAAUACACAACACUCAAGAUUAAAGUUAAGGGUUGUAACGGGGCUUAAG